GAUGAACGCUAGCUACAGGCUUAACACAUGCAAGUCGAGGGGUAGCAGGGUAGCAAUACCGCUGACGACCGGCGCACGGGUGAGUAACACGUAUCCAACCUUCCCAUAACCCGGGGUUAGCUUUCGGAAAGAAGAAUUAAUACCGGAUGGUACUUUUCCAAGGCAUCUUGAGAAGGUUAAAGAUUUAUUGGUUUUGGAUGGGGAUGCGUUCCAUUAGGUAUUUGGUGAGGUAACGGCUAACCAAGUCUUCGAUGGAUAGGGGUUUUGAGAGGAAGGUCCACAACAUUGGUACUGAGACACGGACCAAACUCCUACGGGAGGCAGCAGUGAGGAAUAUUGGUCAAUGGGCGAGAGCCUGAACCAGCCAAGUAGCGUGAAGGAUGAAGGUCCUAUGGAUUGUAAACUUCGUUUAUAGUAGAGUAAAGUGAUCCACGUGUGGAUUUUUGUAUGUAUACUAUGAAUAAGGAUCGGCUAACUCCGUGCCAGCCGCCGCCGUAA
rnacentral:rRNA from 1 species